AGUGAACGCUGGCGGUAGGCCUAACACAUGCAAGUCGAACGGCAGCACAGUAAGAGCUUGCUCUUACGGGUGGCGAGUGGCGGACGGGUGAGGAAUACAUCGGAAUCUACUUUUUCGUGGGGGAUAACGUAGGGAAACUUACGCUAAAACCGCAUACGACCUACGGGUGAAAGCAGGGGAUCUUCGGACCUUGCGCGAUUGAAUGAGCCGAUGUCGGAUUAGCUAGUUGGCGGGGUAAAGGCCCACCAAGGCGACGAUCCGUAGCUGGUCUGAGAGGAUGAUCAGCCACACUGGAACUGAGACACGGUCCAGACUCCUACGGGAGGCAGCAGUGGGGAAUAUUGGACAAAGGGCGCAAGCCUGAUCCAGCCAUACCGCGUGGGUGAAGAAGGCCUUCGGGUUGUAAAGCCCUUUUGUUGGGAAAGAAAAGCAGCAGGUUAAUACCCCGCUGUUCUGACGGUACCCAAAGAAUAAGCACCGGCUAACUUCGUG
rnacentral:rRNA from 1 species